rnacentral:rRNA from 1 species
AUUGAACGCUGGCGGCAGGCCUAACACAUGCAAGUCGAGCGGAUGAAGGGAGCUUGCUCCUGGCUUCAGCGGCGGACGGGUGAGUAAUGCCUAGGAAUCUGCCUGGUAGUGGGGGAUAACGUCCGGAAACGGGCGCUAAUCUCGCAUACGUCCUGAGGGUGAAAGUGGGGGAUCUUCGGACCUCACGCUAUCAGAUGAGCCUAGGUCGGAUUAGCUAGUUGGUGGGGUAAAGGCCUACCAAGGCGACGAUCCGUAACUGGUCUGAGAGGAUGAUCAGUCACACUGGAACUGAGACACGGUCCAGACUCCUACGGGAGGCAGCAGUGGGGAAUAUUGGACAAUGGGCGAAAGCCUGAUCCAGCCAUGCCGCGUGUGUGAAGAAGGUCUUCGGAUUGUAAAGCACUGUAAGUUGGGAGGAAGGGCAGUAAGUUAAUACCUUGCUGUUUUGACGUUACCAACAGAAUAAGCACCGGCUAACUUCGUG